rnacentral:rRNA from 1 species
GUGGGGAAUAUUGGACAAUGGGCGAAAGCCUGAUCCAGCCAUGCCGCGUGUGUGAAGAAGGUCUUCGGAUUGUAAAGCACUUUAAGUUGGGAGGAAGGGCAGUAAGUUAAUACCUUGCUGUUUUGACGUUACCGACAGAAUAAGCACCGGCUAACUUCGUGCCAGCAGCCGCGGUAAUACGAAGGGUGCAAGCGUUAAUCGGAAUUACUGGGCGUAAAGCGCGCGUAGGUGGUUUUGUAAGUUGGAGGUGAAAUCCCCGGGAUAAACCUGGGAACUGCCUCCAAAACUGCAUGACUAGAGUACGGUAGAGGGUAGUGGAAUUUCCUGUGUAGCGGUGAAAUGCGUAGAUAUAGGAAGGAACACCAGUGGCGAAGGCGACUACCUGGACUGAUACUGACACUGAGGUGCGAAAGCGUGGGGAGCAAACAGGAUUAGAUACCCGGGUAGUCC